UAGGUAGAGAGGAGGACAAAGUAACCGCAGGUCGACGCCGCCGCCGAGUGUACUUAUACGCCGCCGCCGGUUCUCAUCGAGCCGGCCCUGCGGGUAGAAGAGUGGCCGGUUACCGCGACUGCACUGACUGGUCACUGGUCCAACAAAAAGCCGUGCCACGUGAGUGAAAUCACCUCGGAACAAGAAAAAGGCAACUAUAACUUAGGACGAGGUUCAGAGAUUGGCGUUCAUCGACGAAAACUUCAGGUGGUUAGUGUACGCUCCAAUACGGUCCUUGGUGGUCAGGUGGUGUCUAGAUCAUACACCCUGCUGUCCCAACAUAGAGGAACAUGUCCCACACACAGAAACCUAUGUAAUGCAGCAGCAACGGCGGCGGCGUCGGCAGGUACACGCCACCUCGCCGGUACCACUUCAAAGUACGUACGCGCUGCUCACUAGGCUGAGCGGGUUAGAGUGGACGUCGACGUCACAGCGUCGGGAGGGAGCCCAGACGAGAGAGGGUUCAGACGUGUGCGGUACCUAUAUACUACAGUCUAACUUCUUGUG
rnacentral:rRNA from 1 species